rnacentral:ncRNA from 1 species
AUAAAAGCAUUGAAAAAGAGGAGUAAAAAUUGGAAACAUGGUAGGAAUCUUGCAGAUAAUAAUGUGAGUAGUACUGUUUUUUAUGAGUUAUAUAAUUCAUAAAAUAUUCAGAGAGAGGGAUUAGGUGAAAGCCCUUAUGUGGAAGAUUUUGAAGGUAGCUUUUGAGCUUCUUUAGUGAAAAUAACAGUAGCUAAAGACGGUUUUUCUAAAUCGUUAUUUAAAUUAAGAGUCCAUUAGAGCAUGAUUUUAUCUGCUUACGUGGAAAUAAAGGUGGUACCGCGAGUUUUCGUCCUUUUA